UACGUAGGGUGCAAGCGUUGUCCGGAAUUAUUGGGCGUAAAGAGCUCGUAGGCGGUCUGUCGCGUCUGCUGUGAAAACUCAGGGCUUAACCCUGAGCUUGCAGUGGGUACGGGCAGACUAGAGUGCGGUAGGGGAGACUGGAAUUCCUGGUGUAGCGGUGAAAUGCGCAGAUAUCAGGAGGAACACCGGUGGCGAAGGCGGGUCUCUGGGCAAUAACUGACGCUGAGGAGCGAAAGCGUGGGGAGCGAACAGG
rnacentral:rRNA from 1 species